rnacentral:rRNA from 1 species
UCUCAAAGAUUAAGCCAUGCAUGUCUAAGUAUAAGCAAUUAUACCGUGAAACUGCGAAUGGCUCAUUAAAUCAGUUAUCGUUUAUUUGAUAAUACCUUACUACUUGGAUAACCGUGGUAAUUCUAGAGCUAAUACAUGCUGAAAAUCCCGACUUCGGAAGGGAUGUGUUUAUUAGAUAAAAAACCAAUGCCCUUCGGGGCUCCUUGGUGAUUCAUAAUAACUUUACGGAUCGCAUAGCCUUGCGCUGGCGACGGUUCAUUCAAAUUUCUGCCCUAUCAACUUUCGAUGGUAAGGUAUUGGCUUACCAUGGUUUCAACGGGUAACGGGGAAUUAGGGUUCGAUUCCGGAGAGGGAGCCUGAGAAACGGCUACCACAUCCAAGGAAGGCAGCAGGCGCGCAAAUUACCCAAUCCCGAUUCGGGGAGGUAGUGACAAUAAAUACUGAUACAGGGCUCUUUUGGGUCUUGUAAUUGGAAUGAGUACAAUUUAAACCUCUUAACGAGGAACAAUUGGAGGGCAAGUCUGGUGCCAGCAGCCGCGGUAAUUCCAGCUCCAAUAGCGUAUAUUAAAGUUGUUGCAGUUAAAAAGCUCGUAGUUGAAACUUGGGUCUGGCUGGCGGGUCCGCCUCACCGCGUGCACUCGUCCGGCCGGGCCUUCCUUCUGAAGAACCUCAUGCCCUUUACUGGGCGUGUUGGGGAAUCAGGACUUUUACUUUGAAAAAAUUAGAGUGUUCAAAGCAGGCCUUUGCUCGAAUACGUUAGCAUGGAAUAAUAAAAUAGGGCGUGCGUUUCUAUUUUGUUGGUUUCUAGAGACGCCGCAAUGAUUAACAGGAACAGUCGGGGGCAUCAGUAUUCAGUUGUCAGAGGUGAAAUUCUUGGAUUUACUGAAGACUAACUACUGCGAAAGCAUUUGCCAAGGAUGUUUUCAUUAAUCAGUGAACGAAAGUUAGGGGAUCGAAGACGAUCAGAUACCGUCGUAGUCUUAACCGUAAACUAUGCCGACUAGGGAUCGGGCGAUGUUCUUUUUCUGACUCGCUCGGCACCUUACGAGAAAUCAAAGUUUUUGGGUUCUGGGGGGAUUAUGGUCGCAAGGCUGAAACUUAAAGAAAUUGACGGAAGGUCACCACCAGGCGUGGAGCCUGCGGCUUAAUUUGACUCAACACGGGGAAACUCACCAGGUUCAGAUGAAAUAAGGAUUGACAGAUUGAGAGCUCUUUCUUGAUUUUUCAGGUGGUGGUGCAUGGCCGUUCUUAGUUCGUGGGGUGACUUGUCUGCUUAAUUGCGAUAACGAGCGAGACCUUACUCUGCUAAAUAGCCAGGCUAGCUUUGGCUGGUCGCCGGCUUCUUAGAGAGACUAUCAACUCAAGUUGAUGGAAGUUUGAGGCAAUAACAGGUCUGUGAUGCCCUUAGAUAUUCUGGGCCGCACGCGCGCUACACUGACAGAGCCAACGAGUUCUUUCCCUUGGCCGAAAGGUCUGGGUAAUCUUGUUAAACUCUGUCGUGCUGGGGAUAAAGCAUUGCAAUUAUUGCUUUUCAACGAGGAAUGCCUAGUAAGCGCGUGUCAUCAGCAUGCGUUGAUUACGUCCCUGACCUUUGUACACACCGCCCGUCGCUACUACCGAUUGAAUGGCUCAGUGAGGCCUUCGGACUGGCUCGGGGAGGUUGGCAACGACCACCCCAAGCCGGAAAGUUGGUCAAA